ACGGGGUCUAAUACCGGAUAUCACACUCUUGGGCAUCCAGGGGUGUUGAAAGUUCUGGCGGUGCAGGAUGAACCCGCGGCCUAUCAGCUUGUUGGUGGGGUGAUGGCCUACCAAGGCGACGACGGGUAGCCGGCCUGAGAGGGUGACCGGCCACACUGGGACUGAGACACGGCCCAGACUCCUACGGGAGGCAGCAGUGGGGAAUAUUGCACAAUGGGCGCAAGCCUGAUGCAGCGACGCCGCGUGAGGGAUGACGGCCUUCGGGUUGUAAACCUCUUUCGCCAGGGGACGAAGCGCAAGUGACGGUACCUGGAUAAGAAGCACCGGCUAACUACGUGCCAGCAGCCGCGGUAAUACGUAGGGUGCGAGCGUUGUCCGGAUUUAUUGGGCGUAAAGAGCUCGUAGGCGGUUUGUCGCGUCGGCCGUGAAAUCUCCACGCUUAACGUGGAGCGUGCGGUCGAUACGGGCA
rnacentral:rRNA from 1 species